CCGGAAGGAGAGAAGCAUUGCGACGAAGAGUGGACGCCGCGGGCGGGAUGUGUUUGUAGCGUGGGGUAAGGCCGGCGUCUGGCACGCCUGUAGGGGUGCCUCACGGUAGCGUCCUCUUAGGCAGGGUGUCGAGCUUCAGGGGAUUUGUAGAGCUCGGGGGGCAGAGGUGAAAGGUCAGUGUCUGCCGCGGGGUCAGCACCACCUGCGGUCUCCUUCCUCUGAGAACUCAUCGGAUUUUUUUCAGUGUGUGAGCCCCUGAGGGCAGAAGGCGGUUGUUUCUGGUCAUUCAGAGACCGUGGUUUGUGUGCAGGAGGAGCAGAUCCAAGGCAGUGGUAGCAGGGUAUCCUCUGAAGUUUCUCAAGGUUUCAGGUGAACCUGGUCUCCAUGAGGUAAACCCUGCCCCUUGUUGAAAUUUCAUUUCAGCAGAUCGUGCAUGGUAGUUUACGGAAUCGGAAUAUGGAACAAAAAACAAAGUUUGGUUUGGUUUGGUUUCAGACUUCGUUUUUCUUUUUGUAGGUGAGAGAUGUGUAAAUAAAGGUUCUUUAUCCUGAACGGCUGUGAUGCUUCAGGCUGUUAGCUGCCUAGUCUAAUGUCAGUGGCAAUUCUGGACAGUUUUUUCUUGGUCCAAAUUGUUAUUAAAUGUUAUCAAUGUGGAGUUUUUAUCCAUUUGCUCGUGAUCCUAGUACACGUGAAGUACUCCAUAAAGCCAGUUAGAAGCCUGAAUGAAAACUUGCCUUACCGGUCACACCCUGUUUCCUACUUGGUGGUUUAUGUUUCAGGAACAGAGACCUUUUUUUUUUUUUUUUUUUUUUUUUUGACAGGCAGAGUGGACAGUGAGAGAGAGAGACAGAGAGAAAGGUCUUCCUUUGCCAUUGGUUCACCCCCCAGUGGCCGCUGUAGCCAGCGCGCUGCGACCGUUGCGCUGCACUGAGCCAAAGCCAGGAGCCAGGUGCUUCUGGUCUCCCAUGCAGGUGCAGGGCCCAAGCACUUGGGCCAUCCUCCACUGCCUUCCCGGGCCAGAGCAGAGAGCUGGAUUGGAAGAGGGGCAACCGGGACAGAAUCCGGCACCCCAACUGGGACUAGAACCCCCGGGGUGCUGGCGCUGCAGGUGGAGGAUUAGCCUAGUGAGCCGCGGCGCCGGCCGAGAGCAUUUUUGAGUAUGCACACGUGUAUGUCUUCGUUGUUUAAAACUGGACCCAUUUCUGUGCUCACAGCUGCUGCGUUCUUCAUAGUUCAGGUUAAGUGAUCCAGCUUGGCUGGGCAGACCUGUGUGUGUGGGGAGGGGGAGCAACUAGGUUGUCAGGGUGAGUCAAGAGAGCUGUUUUGGUGUGUCUGAUUGGGUGUGCUGGAAAAACAAGAAAAUUUUGUUUUUAAAUAUCCAUCUUUAAUUGACGCAGAGUUCGUGUUUACGGGGAACAGUGUGGCAUUUCAGUACACGUGUACAGCGAUCAGGGGCACUGGCAUUCCCAUCCCUUCAGACAGUUCUCGUUUCUUUGUGUUAGGGACAUUCAGAAUCCUGUCUGCGAGUUAGCCUUGUUAACCACAGUUAUCCUACUGUGCCGUAGAACAUCAUGAGUUUUUUCGGUUCACUCACCUACACUCCUGCAGUCCUUAACAUCCUCUGUCCAUCCCCCACUGCCCCCCAGUACCCCUCCCCAUACUCCAAACCGUCUAACUCUACUUUGAGACAGUGUAAGUGCGGAACGUGUGGUGUAUUUUUCUGUGCUUGGCUUGUUUUACCGAUACAUUGUCCUUCAGUUUCAUCCGUGUUGCUGCAAAUGACAGAGUUUCACUCUUUUUUAGUGGCUGGGUAAUAAUAAAUAGACCGUGUUUCUUUAUCCCUUCGCCCAUUGACGGACGUCUAGGCUAAUUCCGUGUCCUGCUCACGUGAAUAGCGCUGCGACAGACGUGAGUGCAGGUGUGUCUGGCAUUCGGAUUUCAUGUGUUUUGGGUAUAUGCUCAGUAGCAGGAUUGAUGGCUCCCAUGGUAAUCCUGUCUGGUUUUCUGAGGACACGCCACACUGUUGGUUAUACUGGUUUGCAUUCGCUCAGCAGUGUGUGCGAGUCGCCCUUUCUCUGCGUCCUCACCGUUAGUUACUAGUAUUUUAUAAAAGCCGUCCUGACUGCAGUGAGGGGUUAGCUCGUUGUGGUUCGGAUUUGCAUUUCCCUAAUGGUUAGUCAUGUUGAGCUUUUCUCAUCAUGCUUCUUGGCCAUCUGUAUAUCUUGAGAAAUGUCUGUUCAGGUCAUUCACCCAUGUUUUUAUUUACUUGGAUUUUUUUCCUGUUGAUUAUAUAUUCUGUGAAUUAAUCCCUUGUUGAAUGAAUAGGUUGCAGUAUUUUCUCAUUCUGUUGUCUCUUCACUCUGUUGAUUGUUUCCUAUGCUGGGCAGAAGCUUUUUCGUUUUCCCACUUGUCUGUUUGCCUUUGCUCUGGGAGUUUUUCCCAUUUUUGGUGUUGGCUUCAGUUUCUUUCAUCAGUGUUUGUAAUUUUCAUUGUGGAGAUCAUUCACUUCCUUAAUUAAAGUAUUCCUCGGUGUUUGGGGUGGGAGGUAGCUGUUGUGGAUAGGAUUACUUUCUUUUUAUUUCUUCUACAGCAACUUUUGGUGUAUAAAAAUAUUACUGAUGGUUACAUGUUGAUUUUAUAGCCUACAGGGUUGCUAAUUUCAUUUGUCAGUUUGAACGGUUUUUGGUGGAGUGUUUAGGUUUUUCCUAGAUUUAAAAUUAUGUCAUCUGCAAACAGGGAUAAUUGGACCUCCUCCUUUUCUAUUUGGAUGUUCCUUAUUUAUUUUUGGCCUUAUUGUUCUGGUGAAAGUUUAGUUAACAUGAAACCUUGAAUGGUGACAUGAGGGCAUGCCUGUGUGUAGUGAGGUAUCCACGGGGCUUGUUGCCGAUGGCCUGACAAUUGCAGCUUGACUCAUAAGCUUUGAAAAUGCUGUGUGUGCAGAGCUUAAAUGGCAGCUGGCAACUUGGACGGGAGAAGCAGGAAGGUAGCUGAUGGAGCCAGGCACUGAGCUGACGGCACGGCAUAGGGCAACGCGGCAGGAUGCCUGCAGGCCACCCCCAUUCAGCUUUACCCUUCGGUGGACGGGUGCUUUCCCCUAAAGAACUGUUGUAUGUUUGCCAUACGCUUUAUAUUGUUAGGCGCUGUCCUGUUUGUCAGGCUCCCAGUCGGUGAGACAAGUAGUAUUUUUCUCCUGGUUUAAGGGGAAACAGAAGCUCUGGAAGAAGAGGUGGCUCUUCCAAGGUCUUAAGGCAAAAUAGCUUCCAAAGUAGGAAUCAAACCCAGGUGUUGUCUACACUGCAGGACAGUUCCUGGAAUCGGUUGCAGCUAAGUUCUCUUACCUCCACCUGUCACCGCGUUUACGUGUAGGCUGUUGGUGUGUAGUAAGGAGUGCGCGAUUGUCCCAAGUCUUGCCGUCAAGCCGCAGCUGCCUCCGUCUCCCAGCUUCCUCCAUCCCCUGCGCACAGCCCUUCCCCGUCGUUCUGAAAGAGCCCUGCCGUCCCUCACCUGGAGGACGAGAAGAGGCUGCAGGGCCCUGGCAGAUGAAAAAGAUGUGCUUACCAGGUAUUUGGCGUGCCCGUUACGUCAGCCCUUGGGGGCCACGUGGUGAGCAAGAGCGACACUAAAUGGAGUGAGGCGUUGUAGAGGUAAUUUCAGCACUUAGGGUCGUGAGUACUGUGAAGGAGAGGAACAGGCCGUCACUAAGAACACAGGGGAGGAACCUCACCAAGUGCUGCCAAGGGAAAGGCGGAGGGCAGAGCAUGGAGCAGGGCGCACGUCGUCCCUGUUGUCUGUGGACAGCCUGUGGCCUGUCCAAGUUCUUGGCUCACUAAGCCAUUAGAGCUUCCCCUCCCCCAAGACCUUGGGGACUCAAAAUACCUUGCAUGUACACGAGCAGACACAGUGUGAUAGCUUGAAAGGCGUUUGAGUUCAGGUAGCCUGAGCCCUCCUACAGCCGGGCCUGCUGCUGGGCACCUGGAGUCACCCAGGGCAGCACUCAGGACUGGACCCCAGCUCAGGUGAACUGAGCGCCGGCACGCCAGGCUGCCGGGUGACAGCACGAGCUACAAGGUGUGGCGGGCACAGGGCGCUCGAAUGCCACGUUCAGCCGGCUGAGGAGUGAGGGCUGGAGAGGAGCAGGCCCAGAGGUCAGACAGGGAGCUGGAUCAGAGGGCUAAUAGAAUGUGACGUGCUUUGGCAUUGGGAUGCCAUUACGGAUCUUUAGGCACCCUGGCUUCUCCAGAGAGAAGCAAGGAUGCACGAAUCGGUGAAGCUCACAGCUGAACGAGUGUAGGUGCUGAGAAAUGUCCACGUUGAAGAACGACAGCCUGGAGUUUCCGUAGUCCAGCAGAAUGCCGAUCCUCUUUGGGGGAACUGUUAUUCUCAUAUCUGGGGUUGUCCUGUUGUGCAGAAAUUCAUACUUAUGCCUGAAAAAUACCAGGGGGACAACUCUUCAGAAAGUCUAUAGGUAGGCCAUAGAAAAUUUGCCCUAAGAAACCACACUUCCUCACCCUGUUACUGAGCAACCUCUGAGCAAACUUACUACUGUAUCGUGAACCCACAGCACACAGCAGUAGAGGAGGUCUUUAAAAUUGGGUCUGGGGGCUCAGAGGUGUACGUCUUCUGUGAUAAGGUUGUUGGCAGUGGAGCUGCUGUGAUCUCGUGCUAGCAUGGGUCUUUGGUACUGGCUCUGGUGGGUAGCAGUACCCUAGGGCAGCUGGCUCUUAAACUUUCCAACAGUCAUCCAGUGGGCUUGCCACUGGUCAGUGUACAGCUCCAUGAUUGGCACCAGCACCCUCCAGCCAUGCUCCGUAUCCUGUUUACUUUGAACAGCGGCCGAAGCCAGAGCCAGUCCCUGGAAGUCCCUAACCCUGCUGCCUGCAGACACCUGAAGAGCUGUGGUGCCAGUGUGCUGGUUCACUCUCCUGGGGUGAACACCUGGAAUGUGAUCGGAAUGUGUGAGAGCAAGCCAGCUUGCCUCCUUCCCAGCUCACCUUUCCUCCCCUUAGUGAGUCCUUCCCUCUCACCAUCAAUAGAAUCUAAUACUGAACUAGACACUACCGUCAGCUGGGAGACCUGUCCCAGGACGCCUUACCCUCAGUCUCCCCUCGUAACUCGCCGUCUCCCCGCUGCGUCUUCCCAAGAGCACUGCACAGCACUUGGCCCGAGCUCCAGCUCUUCCCUUCCUGUCCGUUGGUCUCACGUUUCUGCCCUCCUCUGUCUUCUGAUUCUCUUCUCACCAGACACAUAAAGCUACGCUUCCUUUACGCUGCCUCGGUUUUACUCUGUCCCCUAAGUGAGGGAUCUGGCUCUGCACAUAGUAAUUCUUGCAUCCCCAAACCAUGGUGACAUUGAGUAGAGUCCCUUACGGUAUAAACCUUCCGGUGAGGGCUGGGGGUUGAUCUUCCCACUUUCACUUGGGCAUGGCAAAUAAUGUUUCAAUAAGCAUGGUGAAGGAUCGGGGCAGGAACACUGGAUGAGCGUUCAUAGGGUUUACCAAGCCCAGGAGACCCCGUUUACAAGGGGUGCUAGGAAUCCAGUGUGGGUUUGUGUGCCGACAUUGGAGGUUGGAGCUGCGGCCUGCCAAGUGUGAACAUGUCGUCCACUGGCCUGGGUCCCUGAGGUUUCUUCCCCCCAGCCUAGAGCUGUUUUCAUGUAUACAGACGGUGCUCAGCCCCGAGUGCAAACCAGAACUAGCCGUAACUUUCAAGCUUCUUGCCCGUCUUUACUUAAGAGAAUCGAGGCUUCCAAUAAACUGUCUACUUCACAGACUGCAGCUGAGCACACUGGGAAACCGGCGCGUGGUGGUUGGGAAUUCCGUCUCCUCAGCCGGGCGCCCGGUCCAAGUCUGGGCUCUGAAGCCGUGUGGGUGGAGUGUCAGCUGCCCUGAGAAGGGGGGUGACCACUCUGAGAAGUCAACGAGAGAAUGCAAGGAAGGGCGUAGGACAAGCCCCCUGCGAGUGCAUUUUUACGUCAGAAGCACCGCUGUGCUUUUCUUCUCACUUGGACUUCAAAGCGGCUGACGUCGACUCCUGAGAUACCUUCGAGUAUUUCCUAAAGCAUAAUGGGUGCGUCCCGGAUCACUGUUAGUGAAACCCUCUUGGCUCGUCUUUGGAAAGCGAGUGUUAAUCUUGGGCAUCCGGAUUUGCCUUUACCUUGAUGAGGCGAAUGUGUGCCUCAGGCACCAGGAGAGGCGGUUGGCGCCCAGGUCCUCGUGUCUAGGCACCUCUUCAAAGGCCACGCCGACGGUGUAGUCCAGGCACUCAUCCACCUCCACCUCCCAGUAGUGGCGUCCUCGGACUGGAAUCAGGUUUCCCAGGACAGCAACGCACCUGGGUGUAGAAGGGGACGCAUGUGCAGCAGGUUAGAGCCCAGCCUGCAGCGCCGGCACCCACAUGGGAGUCCUGGCUGCUCAAAGCCAGGAUUCAGGAGCUUCUUCCAGAUCUCCCAUGCGGGUGCAGGGGCCCAAACACUUGCGCCAUCUUCCGCUGCUCUUCCCAGGGCAUUAGGAAGGAGCUAAUGAACUCACACCAGCACCCACAGGGAUGUCAGCAUCACAGCUGGCAGCUUUACUGGCUGUGCCACAACGCCGGCCCCUUCUUCUUUAGAAAGGUGGGGGGCGGGGGAGGACUGGAAACUCACAUAAGGCGGCAGAGUCAAGGGAACCAUGGGCUUGAGGCUCACAGACUGGCCAGCCCUUCCUUGCUUUGGUACAGAACCAACAUGGAGGGUCUGGAGGAAAGCCUUCCACUAAGGAUGACUCCAGGUGGAAGAUGAGAAUUCAGAGGUCAGCCCAAGAGAGCAAGACAGCAAAUUCCUCACAGAUCAUCCACAUCUACCUCCAGACUUCCACAGGGAACCACUGCUGUACUGACGAAGGUAGAGUUCUGUUUGUUCUCUAACAGCAAUGUGCCCAACAGAGAAUGGUCUUCCUUGGGAAUCGGAUCACGUGGGCAUCUCCAUGGUGAAUGCCCUGCCUCCUUCAGGAAGCUCCUUCAACAGCCAGACUACGUGGCUCCCAACAUCCCUAGGAAGAUCUGUUCAGCUGCCAUUAAAACUUUUUCUUUGCUCUCAGAACGCCCAUAUUCUAGGGCCAGCGCUGUGGCAUAGAAGGCUAAGCCUUCGCCUGUGGCACUGGCAUCCCAUAUGGACACCAGUUUGUGUCCCAGCUGUUCUUCUUCCGAUCUGGCCCUAUGCUGAUGGCCUGGGAAAGCAGUGGAGGAUGGCUCAAGUGCUUGGGCCCCUGCACCCACAUGGGAGACCCGGAAGAAGCUCCUGGCUUCAGAUCAGGCCCAGCUCCAGCCAUUGCGGCCAUUUGGGGAGUGAACAAGUGGAUGGAAGACCUGUCUGUCUCUAACUCUGCCUCUCAAAUAAAUACAUCUUUAAAAAAAAAAAAAAAAGAAACAACUCCAAGUUCUGAAUGCAUAUGCCCGACUUGGGGGAUGCAGCUAUAUGGUAGCUAACUCCUCACCUGUGUGGGCAGAGAUCGGUCUCUGUCCCCUGUACCCACAGCACACCACACAGUGUUUGGCAACAGAGCUGUGGAGGACAGAAUGUUAAAGUGGAACUAGCUAUGCUUCACUGGACCCCAGAAAGCCACGACCACAAGGCUGGGGGAGGCGUGGGACCACGUGGGCAGACUCGCAAAGGAGGGGGCCACACGUCGGUUUUGUAACUUCCAGGGCAGCGGCAGCCGGGGGAAGGUGGCGGUGCUUGAGGCUGUGUCUGCCCAGAGAGCUUUCUUGUGAUUCCCGUGGCAGAAGCGUGACUCCAUGACCUGAUGAAGGGCACCGAUUCCUGCAGGCCCAGUGGGGCUGGAGCCCAGCACAGGAUGCCACCUCUGUGUUACUUCUGAGGGGACCCUGUUCAAGAGGGCAUCUUGGCAGGGCUGAGGACACCCCCACCCGCAGAAAGAGGGCGGCGUGAUGUUGGAUGCACAGGCUGACAGGUUGUGGGGGGCGGGCAGUGGGGCCUGAGACAGUGCCCACGGGAGAAAGGGCUGGCUUCGAAGAUGGGUGGCGCUCGGCUCUAAGACUUUGUCUUGCUUCCAGCUUUGCUCCACACCCCAAGUCCUGGGCUGAAUGGGCAGAGGGGGAAAGGGUGAGAUUGAUUUCCGCUGUGCCCUGCAGUUUCACACCAACGCUUUGGUGUACUAGAUGCUAACUCAUUGCAGUAACAAGGCCAGAGGAGGAGCCAGCCAGGACCCAGGAUGGACACUGAUGCUGUUUUCCAUCCACGGCCCUUCCAGCUCUCAGAAGAGAGCUCGUUUUCUACCUUAGAAGAAGAUGCUCCCACCUCUAAAAUCAACCCAUUAAGAACUUUUUUUUUUGCCCUGGCUACAGGAAGUUGAGAGGCCACAUUUGAAGUUGAAUCCUGGGGGCCGGUACUGUGGCGUAGCGGGUAAAGCUGCCUGUGGUGCCGGCAUCCCAUAUGGGCGCCGGUUCAAGUCCUGAUUGCUCCACUUCUGAUCCAGCUCUCUGCUGUGGCCUGGGGAAGCAGUGGAAGACGGGCUUAAUUGUUGGGCCCCUGCCUCCAUGUGGGAGACCCGGAGGAGGCUCCUGGCUCCUGACUUAGGAUCGGAUUGGCACAGCUCCGGCUGUUGUGGCCAGUUGGGGAGUGAACCAGCAGAUGGAAGACCUCUCUCUCUCUCUGUGUGUCUCCUUCCCUGUGUAACUCUUUCAAAUAGAUAAAUAAAAAGUAAAGUUGAAUCCUGGGGGCUGGCAUUGUGGUACAAUGAGUUAAGCCGUUACCUAUGAUCCUGUCAUCCCAUAUGGCUGCUGGUUCCAGUCCCUGCUGCUCUGCUAACGAUCCAGCUCUCCCUGCUAAUGCACCUGGGAAAGCAGCCGGAGACGGGCCAAGUGUUUGGGCCCCUGCAUCCACCUGGGAGACCUGGAUAGAGUUCUAGGCUCCUGGUUUGGGCCUGGCUCAGCCCUGACUGUCGUGGCUGUUUGUGAAUUGAAGGAGUGAUGGAAAUCUGUCUCUCUCUCUUUCUCUAACUCUGCCUUUCAGAUAAAUAGAUCUUUAAAAACAAGUUUAAUCCUGCAAACUGGAUUAGCCUUUGAAGUCAACCUGUGUGUGCUCUUUUCCUUCCAUUGCCUUGAUUUUUCUAUUUCAGGAUUGUGUAUUUGUCCUUUAUUUUAAGUCUUUUCUGCAUCUUUGCCAAGAAGGAGUAGGUGAAUUGUGUCCACUUUUAUUGAGACCCAAGCUCUAAAAGCAGCUAGACAGGCCGGUGUCUUGGGCGGCCUCUCUCAGUUCACACACACGGGAGAGCAUGGCUGGUUUUCCCGCCACCUGUGGGACAGGUUCACUCAUGGCCAGGCUGCCGUCAGGAGUUGGAGAAAGAGCCCUGGGCUCAGUGUGGGAGUUCUGGGACCUUGUUCUGUUUUUCUGCCACCUGGCAGGCUGACCCCAGGGCUCCACCAUCUCUUGCCUACCUUCCUUGGGGACUGUGAAAGGCCUCUUCUGUCUGUGCCCUCUGGCUCCCCUCCCCACCAGACCCCUUCCUCCUCACUCUCAGGAUUUCUCCCCACUUCUCUGUUGCCUCUGUUUGCCAUAAUCCGAUUUUACCCAAAUACCAGUGUAAAUGCGGGAGGUUUGCAGACUGAGCGAGUGACAGUAAAGUACUUGGUAAGGGACCAGCACUGGCACAGCAGAUUAAGCUGCCACUGUGAUGCUGGCAUCCCGUGGGAGUGCUGUUCGAGUCCUGGCUGCUCCACUUCCAGUCCAGCUUCCUGCUAAUGUGCCUGGGAAAGCCGUGGAAGGAGGCCCAAGUGCUUGGGAGACGUGAAUGGAUUGCCUGGCGCCUGGCUCCUGGCUUCAGCCUGGCCCAGCCCUGGCCAUU